CCAGAGCUAGGAUGCAGGGACUGUUCCCCAGGUGUCUCCAAGGCUCCUGCAGACACGGAGGGGACCCAUGAUGGGAAAGAGCCUUCCGAUGGGGCAGGAGAAACAAGGAAUCUCUCUAGAUCGGUUGCUCAAGCCCAGCAACGCUGACAUCUUGGGCCAGAUCAUUCUUCGUCAUCAGGAGCCCCCCGUACAUGCAGGACAUUUAGUAGCAUCCCUGGGGUCCACCAGCAGCCACCAAGCCAGGGGCAGAGGUUCCUGGUCCAUUCAUUCAACAUCCAUUCACUCUGUGGGUCUUUCUAUGCACCUGGCGUCACUCGGGGCCUUCCAGCCAAUAAGUGGACAAGACGGACAGAAGUCCCACCCUUCAGAAGACCCUGAAGGUCAGGACGUGCCUGCGACCCCAAGGCUGCGGACAGAACGUGGCACAAAGCAGGUUUGCAACCCGGGCUUCUCUGAGUGAACAGAAGAGCGAAUCAUCUCCAUCAUCAUUCCUGCAAAGCCAUGUGCCCUCCCGAGAUCUCCGACCCCUGCGGGUCCCAGCAGCCCGUCCUGAGAGAUUUUGUCUAUUAAAACUACUGCUCUGCUCUCUUGAA